UUAUUCUCAUGUUAAGAGGAAAGGUAAUAAUGUUCCGUCACAAAGCUUUUUUGUCAUCCUUGCUGAUUUAGCUGGAUUUUCAUAAUAUAAAUUCAUGGCCUUCCUUGAUGAGGGAGCAAGGUAGAUAAAGGCAAUCGUAUUUUAUGCAUUGUGAUUGUUUGAUUAAUUAAAAGUUAAACUUUCUUUUAUCUCCAGCUCUCUUUCUCUUUGGUGGCUAAAGAAAUUGUGAGGAACGAGGUGAAGAACACAAGUUAAUUUUGGAUUUUUUCUGAAAGUUGUAAACUUAGCUUGAGCAAAUCAAAUAUGAAUAAAAGUUGGAUGACAAUGGGCUUAUGAUGAUGCUCUUACUUAUGGGGGUGGUUCAACUUCAAGUUAAAACACUUUUUGAUUUCUUAUUGGUGGCUUUUAGAGGAUUUACUUUUGGCAUUACUUGAAGACAUAUGAGAACAUCUUCCGUUAGUUCUAAAAUAGGGUUUAGGUAGAGUUAUUAUAUGUAUUGCAAACAAUUAUUGUAUGGAAGGAGUUUGAAUUAGAUACUUGUUUUAUUUUUUACUUGUGGAAU